GCGUGAUUGGCCAGCAAGAUGGCAAAGCUUUAUUCCUGAUCUUGUUUCAGCUGCUAAAACUAGUGAAACAAUUUGUGAGAAUUGCAUGGCUAUAUUGAAGCUUCUAAGUGAAGAGGUGUUUGAUUUCUCAAGAGGAGAGAUGACUCAAAGUAAGAUAAAGGAGCUUAAACAAUCAUUGAACAGUGAAUUUCAACUCAUUCAUGAGCUAUGCUUAUAUGUACUAUCAGCCUCUCAAAGAA